rnacentral:rRNA from 1 species
CCCCUAGAUGUUCUGGGCCGCACGCGCGCUACACUGAACAGUUCAACAAGUCUUAACCUUGGCCGAUAGGUCUGGGUAAUCUUUGAACGCUGUUCGUGAUUGGGAUAGACCUUUGCAAUUAUGGGUCUUCAACGAGGCAUUCCUAGUAAACGCAAGUCAUCAGCUUGCAUUGAUUACGUCCCUGCCCUUUGUACACACCGCCCGUCGCACCUACCGAUUGAAUGGUCCGGUGAAAUCUCGGGACGGCGGCUUGGUCGCUUGCGUCCGACUGCUGAAACUUGAUUAAACCAUAUCAUUUAGAGGAAGGUGAAGUCGUANCA